rnacentral:snRNA from 1 species
AUCACUUGUCAGCCUUUUGGCUAAGAUGAAGUUUUGUGUCUAUUCCUAAUCAGUUUACUAUCUGACACAUCCUUUAUCUGAGGAAAAUGUAUUAAAUGAGUUUUUUAUAACAAGGAGAUAGAAUAGCUGGCUCUAUCCACUCCAUGCAGGAAUCUAGUAUUAUGGGACCCCUA